rnacentral:rRNA from 1 species
CUUCCCGUAGGGGGAACCUGCGGAAGGAUCAUUAAUGAAUUCACUAUGGAGUUGUUGCUGGCCUCUAGGGGCAUGUGCACGCUUCACUAGUCUUUCAACCACCUGUGAACUUUUGAUAGAUCUGCGAAGUCGUCCUUCAAGUCGUCAGACUUGGUUUGCUGGGAUUUAAACGUCUCGGUGUGACAACGCAGUCUAUUUACUUAACACACCCCAAAUGUAUGUCUACGAAUGUCAUUUAAUGGGCCUUGUGCCUAUAAACCAUAAUACAACUUUCAACAACGGAUCUCUUGGCUCUCGCAUCGAUGAAGAACGCAGCGAAAUGCGAUAAGUAAUGUGAAUUGCAGAAUUCAGUGAAUCAUCGAAUCUUUGAACGCACCUUGCGCCCCUUGGUAUUCCGAGGGGCAUGCCUGUUUGAGUGUCAUUAAAUUCUCAAACUCACAUUUAUUUGUGAUGUUUGGAUUGUUGGGGGUUGCUGGCUGUAACAAGUCGGCUCCUCUUAAAUGCAUUAGCAGGACUUGUCAUUGCCUCUGCGCAUGAUGUGAUAAUUAUCACUCAUCAAUAGCACGCAUGAAUAGAGUCCAGCUCUCUAAUCGUCCGCAAGGACAAUUUGACAAUUUGACCUCAAAUCAGGUAGGACUACCCGCUGAACUUAAGCAUAUCAAUAGGCCGGGAGGAAA